rnacentral:rRNA from 1 species
AUUGAACGCUGGCGGCAUGCCUUACACAUGCAAGUCGAACGGGGGUAGCAAUACCCUAGUGGCGAACGGGUGAGUAAUGCAUCGGAACGUACCCAGUUGUGGGGGAUAACGUAGCGAAAGUUACGCUAAUACCGCAUACGCACUGAGGUGGAAAGCGGGGGACCUUCGGGCCUCGCGCAAUUGGAGCGGCCGAUGUCGGAUUAGCUAGUUGGUGAGGUAAAAGCUCACCAAGGCGACGAUCCGUAGCUGGUCUGAGAGGACGACCAGCCACACUGGGACUGAGACACGGCCCAGACUCCUACGGGAGGCAGCAGUGGGGAAUUUUGGACAAUGGGCGAAAGCCUGAUCCAGCCAUGCCGCGUGAGUGAAGAAGGCCUUCGAGUUGUAAAGCUCUUUCGGACGGAAAGAAAUGGCUUCGGUGAAUAAUCGGAGUCGAUGACGGUACCGUAAGAAGAAGCACCGGCUAACUACGUGCCAGCCGCCGCAGUAA